AGCAGCCGCGGUAAUUCCAGCUCCAAUAGCGUAUAUUAAAGUUGUUGCAGUUAAAAAGCUCGUAGUUGAAUUUCGGGGUCAGUAGGUCGGUCGUGCCACUGGUAUGAACUGGUUUUACUGAUUCCUCCCUCUUGAAGAACUGUAAUGCCAUUAAUUUGGUGUUGCAGGGAAUCAGGACUGUUACUUUGAAAAAAUUAGAGUGUUUAAAGCAGGCUUUAGCUUGAAUACAUUAGCAUGGAAUAAUGAAAUAGGACGUUUGAUCCUAUUUUGUUGGUUUCUAGGAUUGACGUAAUGAUUAAUAGGGAUAGUUGGGGGCAUUAGUAUUCAAUUGUCAGAGGUGAAAUUCUUGGAUUUAUUGAAGACUAACUACUGCGAAAGCAUUUGCCAAGGAUGUUUUCAUUAAUCAAGAACGAAAGUUAGGGG
rnacentral:rRNA from 1 species